rnacentral:lncRNA from 1 species
UCGACAUUUCAUCCUGGAGACUCUAGGAGACUGUUUCCUUGCCUUUUCCAGCUUCUAAAGGCUGCCUGCAUUUGUUGGCUCACCGUGCCCUUCCUCCGUCUUCAAAAUCAGCAAUAAUGGACUCAGUCCUCAAAUCUUGUCACUCCAGCCUUCUCUUCUGCCUCCCUCUCCCACUUUUAAGAAACUCCAUGAUUACAUUGGGUGCAUGUAGAUAACCCAGGAUACUCUCCCUGUUUUAAGAUCAGCUGAUUAGCAAACUGAAUUCUAUCUGGAAUCUUAAUUCCCCUUUGCCAUGUAAAGUUACAUUUUUACAGUUUCCAAGGAUUAGGACGUAGACAUCUUUGCGUGUUUGGGGGUCGUGGUUCGGGAGUCACUAUUCUGCUUACCGCAGCCUAUAAUACAGCAGCCAAUCACAGGACAACCACUGGUGAGGAUUAACACAGUGUGGUGGGAUCAUGAAACAGCAGAAAGGGAAGUAGCACCACCUGGCAGUGGUGGCUAGUUAAGAUUAUUCCCUAUUUAUUAAACCUAUGUUGAAAGAAGAGGCUAAAAGCCUAACAAGUGGAGUUAUACUGAAAAAGUAAACGAUCUGCUUAUUUAUUUCUGCCUUCAGAGAAUCACUUGACUAUACUGCCCAGCCACAACCCCAUUAAUGGUACUUGUGGUACCAAAUGUAAAGAGUCUAAAACUUCACUCAUUGGAAAUAUGGUGCCUCACAGCAAAGGUUUCAAAUGCAACCCAUUUAACUACCAAAAUGAAAAUUGGUCUUAUUCCCCCGAAGUACACAACACCCUCAUGAAGAAAUAAACACUUCUUGCUGGUACCUAUUGAUGUUAAAUUUCUUGUUUUAUUUGAAAAUGCUACCAAUCCUGACACCACCCAGCUGAGGGUUGUCUGACAGCAGCAGCUGCAAGGAGCUAAAAAUUAUGAAAUUAAAUUUGUAGUUUUGAUUACUGCGAUUGGCCAACACUGGGUUAUCUGGUUUGGAAAUCUGUGUGUAAUACAUACAUACAACAAAUUCUUUAUUUUGAAAAAAGUACAUAAUUUGUAUUAAUAAAAAAAUCAGCUUCUUGCUAAAUAGCAACACAAAAGCAUAUGAAAGUAUAAAUCUCACUGCUAAGGGUAAAUACAUAGACAAAUACAGAAUAAUGUAAUAUUGUAAUGGUGGUGCAUAAAUCACUUUUAACCCCAGCAUAAAAGACAAAAGUAUUAAGAAUAUAACCACAAAAUAUUGGUUAAUGGAUACACAACAUAAAAAGCAAAUUCUGACAUCAAUAACAAACUGGGGAAUGGGAGAGUAAAAGUGUAGUUUUUGUAUGUGAUUGAAGUUAUCAGCUCAAAAUAGACUGGUACAAUUCUAAGGAGGGUUAUGCAAGCUUCACAGUAACUACAAAGAAAAAAUCUUCAGCAGAUACAAGAAAGGGAAAAGAAUCCGAGUAUAUAACCAUAAAAAAUUAUCAAAUCACAAAGACAGCAAGAGGGGAAGAGAGGAACAAAAGAACCACAAAACAGAAACCAAUGAACAAAAUGGCAGUAGUCAGUUCUUACCAAUCAAUAAUUUCUUUAAAUGUAAAUGUAUUAAAUUCCCCAAUCAAAGAUACAGAGUAGCUGAAUGGAUUAAAAAGCAAGAUCUAAUUAUAGGGUGUCUACAAAAGACUCACUUUAGCUUUAAGGACACACGUAGGCUGAAAGUGAAGGGAUGAAACAAGAUAUAUCAUGCAAAUGGUCACCAAAACAGAGCGUAAGCAGCUUUUCUUAUAUUAGACAAAAAGACUUCAAGUCAAAAACUGUCACAAGAGACAAAGAAGGUCAUUACAUAAUGAUAAAAGGGUCAAUUCAACAGGAAGACGUAACAAUUAUAUAUGCACCCAACAUCAGAGCGCCUAUAUAUAUAAAGCACACAUUGAUAAAUAUGAAGGGAGAAAUAGGAGUAGAAUGUAUUAGGAGACUUCAAUACCCCACUUUCAAUAAUAGUUCAUCCAGACAUUAGAGAAAUAAAGAAACAGUGGUUUUGAAUAACACUAUAGGCCAAAUGGAGCUAACAGACAUGUACGGAACCUUCUACCUAACGGCAGCAGAAUAAAAAUUCCUCUCAACUGCACAUGAAAGAUUCUCCAAGAUAGAUUACAUGCAAGGUCACAAAACAAGUUCUGACAAAUUUAAGAAGACUGAAAUAAUUUCAAUUAUCUUUUUUGACUACAAAGAAAUGAAACUAGAAAUCAAUAAAAGAAAACUGGAAAAAUUCACAAAUACAUGGAAACUAAACAAUAUAUUCAACCAUUGGGUCAAAGAAGAAAUUUUAAAAAUUAGAAGAUAUUGUGAGACAAACAAAAACAUAACAUGCCAAAACUUAUGGGAGGCGGCAAAAGCAGUGCUGAAAUGGAAGUGUAUAAAUGUCUACAUUAAAAAAGUGUAUAAAUGUCUACAUUAAAAAAGAUCUCAAAC